rnacentral:rRNA from 1 species
AGAGAGAGACAUGCGCGCAUAUCAAUAAGCGGAGGAAAAGAAACUAACUAGGAUUCCCUCAGUAACGGCGAGUGAAGCGGGAAGAGCUCAAAUUUGAAAUCCUUCAAGGUUCUACCUUGACGAAUUGUAGUUUAAAGAAGUGUUUUCUGUUGGAGUUUUGGUAAAAGUUCUUUGGAAUAGGACAUCAUAGAGGGUGAGAAUCCCGGUAUUUGACCAUUAUUUCCAGCUUUGUGAUACACUUUCAAAGAGUCGGAUUGUUUGGGAAUGCAGGUCCAAAAUGGGUGGUAAAUUUCAUCUAAAGCUAAAUAUUGGCGAGAGACCGAUAGCGAACAAGUACCGUGAGGGAAAGAUGAAAAGAACUUUGAAAAGAGAGUUAAACAGUACGUGAAAUUGUCAAAAGGGAAGCGUUUGACACCAGUGUUGUUUUCUCGAAAAUCAAUUAAAAAAGGCAGGAUUUUGUGUUGUAUUGACUUUAUCAGCUUUCUGCACUCUUUUCUUGUCUUUUUUUAAUGCACUUUUCGUUUAACAAGUCAACAUCAAUUUCUUUUGUUGUAAAAGGGUCAUUGGAAGGUGGCUUUCUUUUCGGAGAAAGUGUUUAUAGCCUUUGGCCUCUGCAAUCGGAGAGAUUGAGGUCUGCAGCGUAGAUCCUUCGGGGUUAGAUACAUUUGUGCUAAGUUAUAGCCUUUCAUAGACAACUUGUUGACUAUGAUCAGUCAUGUAGCUUACUCGCUUAUGCUAUUUUACCUACGCUUAGGAUGUUGAUGUGAUACUGCGAGC